rnacentral:rRNA from 1 species
CCUACGGGCGGCAGCAGUGGGGAAUAUUGCACAAUGGGGGGAACCCUGAUGCAGCGACGCCGCGUGAGUGAAGAAGUAUUUCGGUACGUAAAGCUCUAUCAGCAGGGAAGAAGAUGACGGUACCUGACUAAGAAGCCCCGGCUAACUACGUGCCAGCAGCCGCGGUAAUACGUAGGGGGCAAGCGUUAUCCGGAUUUACUGGGUGUAAAGGGAGCGUAGACGGCAGGGCGAGUCUGGAGUGAAAGCCCGGGGCCCAACCCCGGGACUGCUUUGGAAACUGCCAUGCUGGAGUGUUGGAGAGGUAAGCGGAAUUCCUAGUGGAGCGGUGAAAUGCGUAGAUAUUAGGAGGAACACCAGUGGCGAAGGCGGCUUACUGGACAGGAACUGACGUUGAGGCUCGAAAGCGUGGGGAGCAAACAGGAUUAGAUACCCCAGUAGUC